rnacentral:miRNA from 1 species
CCUGUGGCAGAGUAUUCGGUG